rnacentral:piRNA from 1 species
UGCCAUUCGAGACUGUGACAGAGCCAUU